AUUGAACGCUGGCGGCAUGCCUUACACAUGCAAGUCGAACGGUAACAGGUCUUCGGAUGCUGACGAGUGGCGAACGGGUGAGUAAUGCAUCGGAACGUGCCCAGUAGUGGGGGAUAGCCCGGCGAAAGCCGGAUUAAUACCGCAUACGACCUGAGGGUGAAAGGGGGGGAUCGCAAGACCUCUCGCUAUUGGAGCGGCCGAUGUCAGAUUAGCUAGUUGGUGGGGUAAAGGCCUACCAAGGCAACGAUCUGUAGUUGGUCUGAGAGGACGACCAGCCACACUGGGACUGAGACACGGCCCAGACUCCUACGGGAGGCAGCAGUGGGGAAUUUUGGACAAUGGGCGCAAGCCUGAUCCAGCAAUGCCGCGUGCAGGAAGAAGGCCUUCGGGUUGUAAACUGCUUUUGUCAGGGAAGAAAUCUUCUGGGUUAAUACCCCGGGAGGAUGACGGUACCUGAAGAAUAAGCACCGGCUAACUACGUGCCAGCCGCCGCGGUAACAC
rnacentral:rRNA from 1 species